UGAAAUUAGAAAAUGUAACAUUCUCCCAAUUCUAAAGGAUAAAACUUAAUGAAUUUUUUGCUUUUUC